rnacentral:rRNA from 1 species
UGCCAGCCGCCGCGGUAAUACGGAGGGGGCGAGCGUUAUUCGGAAUUACUGGGCGUAAAGGGUGCGUAGGCGGCCCAUCAAGUUAGACGUGAAAGCCCCGGGCUCAACCUGGGAAUUGCGUUUAAUACUGGUGAGCUAGAGUACGAGAGAGGAAAGUGGAAUUCCUAGUGUAGAGGUGAAAUUCGUAGAUAUUAGGAAGAACACCAGUGGCGAAGGCGGCCACCUGGCUCGAUACUGACGCUGAGGUGCGAAAGCGUGGGGAGCAAACAGGAUUAGAUA